GAUGAACGCUGGCGGCGUGCUUAACACAUGCAAGUCGAACGAUGAAGCCCAGCUUGCUGGGUGGAUUAGUGGCGAACGGGUGAGUAACACGUGAGUAACCUGCCCUUAACUCUGGGAUAAGCCUGGGCAACUGGGACUAAUACCGGAUAGGAGCUUCCACCGCAGGGUGGGUGUUGGAAAGAUUUAUCGGUUUUGGAUGUACUCGCGGCCUAUCAGCUUUUUGGUGAGGUAAUGGCUAACCAAGGCGACGACGGGUAGCCGGCCUGAGUGGGUGAGCGGCCACACUGGGACUGAGAGACGGCCCAGACUCCUACGGGAGGCAGCAGUGGGGAAUAUUGCACAAUGGGCGCAAGCCUGAUGCAGCGACGCCGCGUGAGGGAUGACGGCCUUCGGGUUGUAAACCUCUUUCAGUAGGAAAGAAGCGAAAGUGACGGUACCUGCAGAAGAAGCACCGGCUAACUACGUG
rnacentral:rRNA from 1 species